UUUUGUCCUGUCAGAUUUAUGUCUCACAUCACUUCAGUCACAGGUAUAUCUUUCCAGGGAUUCAAAUCAUCACUGAAGGUAAAAGCCCUCACAGACAUGAGGACACCGAAGUCCUUCAGAGCACGGCCACAGGGCUAAAAUUCCUGUCCACAAGCCAACAACAGAAGAAAAAAAAGAUAAACAUCUCUGCACCUUUUUGUGACCUGUGCUAGAAAAAGGUAAAUGAAGAAAUGAUCAAAUAAGGUUGUGAUAUUUAUUUUCUUGCUUUCACAGUCUAAAACAAAACCUAAUAUUAAUUGUCACAAGUAUCCUUGUGCUAAUAUCUCCUUUUCAUUCAAUUGACAGGCUCUGUUGUGUUAUAAUGUUAAUCCAUUUUGACAAUACAGACAGGAUAUCUUCAUAAAAAACAGAUCUUAACAAGACUUUCUGUUGACCCUUACCACACAGCUAGGUUAUUUUCAUAAUUUAC
rnacentral:lncRNA from 1 species